ACUUGUACCUGGUGGCGAGCGGCGGACGGGUGAGUAAUGCCUAGGAAUCUGCCUGGUAGUGGGGGAUAACGCUCGGAAACGGACGCUAAUACCGCAUACGUCCUACGGGAGAAAGCAGGGGACCUUCGGGCCUUGCGCUAUCAGAUGAGCCUAGGUCGGAUUAGCUAGUUGGUGAGGUAAUGGCUCACCAAGGCGACGAUCCGUAACUGGUCUGAGAGGAUGAUCAGUCACACUGGAACUGAGACACGGUCCAGACUCCUACGGGAGGCAGCAGUGGGGAAUAUUGGACAAUGGGCGAAAGCCUGAUCCAGCCAUGCCGCGUGUGUGAAGAAGGUCUUCGGAUUGUAAAGCACUUUAAGUUGGGAGGAAGGGCAUUAACCUAAUACGUUAGUGUUUUGACGUUACCGACAGAAUAAGCACCGGCUAACUCUGUGCCAGCAGCCGCGGUAAUACAGAGGGUGCAAGCGUUAAUCGGAAUUACUGGGCGUAAAGCGCGCGUAGGUGGUUUGUUAAGUUGGAUGUGAAAUCCCCGGGCUCAACCUGGGAACUGCAUUCAAAACUGACAAGCUAGAGUAUGGUAGAGGG
rnacentral:rRNA from 1 species